GAAGACCAAUGGAUAUUUGGGCUAAGAUUCAUGCACAUUUUGCAUCUGUAUCUUAUGAGAAAGACUUGAUACACUUCUUCAUCUUUCUAAUGUGGCACAUAUGGAAGCGAAGGAACUGGUGGGGGUUUAGAAAGCAACACAUUGAAUUUCAGGAGGUUCUCAAUACAGCAAUCAAUCACCAUGAUGAUUCCUAUGUAGCCCAAGC
rnacentral:misc_RNA from 1 species